rnacentral:tRNA from 1 species
AAGAAAGUGGCAGAGUGGUUAUGCGACCGGCUUGAAACCGGUGUAUGGGGGUUCAAUUCCUCCUUUUCUCG